CGUUCGUUGGGUAGGGGAGCGUUCUGUAAGCCGUUGAAGGUGGCCUGUGAGGGCUGCUGGAGGUAUCAGAAGUGCGAAUGCUGACAUAAGUAACGAUAAAGCGGGUGAAAAGCCCGCUCGCCGGAAGACCAAGGGUUCCUGUCCAACGUUAAUCGGGGCAGGGUAAGUCGACCCCUAAGGCGAGGCCGAAAGGCGUAGUCGAUGGGAAACAGGUUAAUAUUCCUGUACUUGGUGUUAUUGCGAAGGGGGGACGGAGAAGGCUAGACCGGCCGGGCGACGGUUGUCCCGGUUUAAGCGUGUAGGUGUGAUGACCUGGCAAAUCCGGUUAUCUUUAACACUGAGGCGUGAUGACGAGGCACUACGGUGCUGAAGUGGUUAAUGCCCUGCUUCCAGGAAAAGCCUCUAAGCUCCAGAUAACACUGAAUCGUACCCCAAACCGACACAGGUGGUCAGGUAGAGAAUACCAAGGCGCUUGAGAGAACUCGGGUGAAGGAACUAGGCAAAAUGGUGCCGUAACUUCGGGAGAAGGCACGCUGGCAUGUAGGUGAAGUCCCUUGCGGAUGGAGCCGAAGCCAGUCGAAGAUACCAGCUGGCUGCAACUGUUUAAUAAAAACACAGCACUCUGCAAACACGAAAGUGGACGUAUAGGGUGUGACGCCUGCCCGGUGCUGGAAGGUUAAUUGAUGGGGUCAGCCGCAAGGCGAAGCUCUUGAUCGAAGCCCCAGUAAACGGCGGCCGUAACUAUAACGGUCCUAAGGUAGCGAAAUUCCUUGUCGGGUAAGUUCCGACCUGCACGAAUGGCGUAAUGAUGGCCAGGCUGUCUCCACCCGAGACUCAGUGAAAUUGAACUCGCUGUGAAGAUGCAGUGUACCCGCGGCAAGACGGAAAGACCCCGUGAACCUUUACUAUAGCUUGACACUGAACAUUGAACCUUGAUGUGUAGGAUAGGUGGGAGGCUUUGAAGUGUGGACGCCAGUCUGCAUGGAGCCGACCUUGAAAUACCACCCUUUAAUGUUUGAUGUUCUAACCUGGUCCCGUGAUCCGGGAUAGGGACAGUGUCUGGUGGGUAGUUUGACUGGGGCGGUCUCCUCCCAAAGAGUAACGGAGGAGCACGAAGGUUAGCUAAUCCUGGUCGGACAUCAGGAGGUUAGUGCAAAGGCAUAAGCUAGCUUGACUGCGAGAGUGACGGCUCGAGCAGGUGCGAAAGCAGGUCUUAGUGAUCCGGUGGUUCUGAAUGGAAGGGCCAUCGCUCAACGGAUAAAAGGUACUCCGGGGAUAACAGGCUGAUACCGCCCAAGAGUUCAUAUCGACGGCGGUGUUUGGCACCUCGAUGUCGGCUCAUCACAUCCUGGGGCUGAAGUAGGUCCCAAGGGUAUGGCUGUUCGCCAUUUAAAGUGGUACGCGAGCUGGGUUUAGAACGUCGUGAGACAGUUCGGUCCCUAUCUGCCGUGGGCGUUGGAAGAUUGAGAGGGGCUGCUCCUAGUACGAGAGGACCGGAGUGGACGCACCGCUGGUGUUCGGGUUGUGAUGCCAAUUGCAUUGCCCGGUAGCUACGUGCGGAAAAGAUAAGCGCUGAAAGCAUCUAAGCGCGAAACUUGCCUCGAGAUGAGUCUUCCCUUGGACCUUGAGUCCACUGAAGGAACGUUUAAGACUAAGACGUUGAUAGGCUGGGUGUGUAAGCGUAGCGAUACGUUGAGCUAACCAGUACUAAUGAUCCGAGAGGCUUAACCUU
rnacentral:rRNA from 1 species